rnacentral:rRNA from 1 species
UUACAAUGGAGAGUUUGAUCCUGGCUCAGGACGAACGCUGGCGGCGUGAUUGAUACAUGCAAGUCAAGGAGAACAUUAUCUUCGGAUAAUAAGUAAACUAGCGAACGGGGGAGUA